UAUGGCCCCUUAUGAGUCACGAAAAUCCCUUCCCUGAUUUGAUGAGCGCCGAGCGCAGGGGGCGGCGGGGAGGGGAGAGGAGAGGAGAGGAGAUGCCCCGGCUCUGUCCCCGCCGGGGCUGGCCUCUGACAUCAGCACGAAACCGGGCAUAAAAGCGGCGUCCCGGGGGACUCCGGCUCGGAGGGUGAGCGGGACGGCACCGGGCACCUUGCCUCGAACCACGCUCCCCCUGGGACAGGGAUGAGCAGGGUGCUCCGUGCCCCUUGCAUCCCUUUAUUGUCCCGACAGGGCUGGAUUUCCCCAGGGCCACCAGCCGGAGGGGACGCGCUGUCUCCAUCACCACCCGGAGCAAACCCCGCGGUUUUCUCUCUGUCCCACCGCCAUCCCUUUGCUCCCGCAGCCACCUCAGGGAUCGCCGUCGCCGUGUCCUCGGGCUGAGCCGUCGUAACGGGGGGGGGGAAAAAAUCCUUCUGGGGAUGAAGCUGGGGGCCGCCUGCCUCGUGUGCCUGCUGCUCGCCUGCCUGGCCCUGCCCGCCGCCACCACCCACGUGCGCUCCAUGGCAAUCAGGAGUAAGGAGAGCAGCAGUAAGGGACUCCCCCGAGACACCCCCAGCGCCCUGCACCCCCAGCCCCUCGCCCUCAAUCCGGGGGGGACGGAGGGAGGGGGCCGGCGUGCAGACCCGGACAUCGACCCCUCGUGGUACACCGGCCGCGGGAUCAGGCCGGUGGGGAGAUUCGGGCGACGGCGAGCCCUGGGAGAAGGCACCCAGCUGGGGGGGGGCAGCUUGCGGCCAGCCUGUGCCCCUCUG